GAUGAACGCUGGCGGCGUGCCUAAUACAUGCAAGUCGAGCGAACAGAUGAGGAGCUUGCUCCUCUGACGUUAGCGGCGGACGGGUGAGUAACACGUGGAUAACCUACCUAUAAGACUGGGAUAACUACGGGAAACCGGAGCUAAUACCGGAUAAUAUAUUGAACCGCAUGGUUCAAUAGUGAAAGACGGUUUUGCUGUCACUUAUAGAUAGAUCCGCGCCGCAUUAGCUAGUUGGUAAGGUAACGGCUUACCAAGGCAACGAUGCGUAGCCGACCUGAGAGGGUGAUCGGCCACACUGGAACUGAGACACGGUCCAGACUCCUACGGGAGGCAGCAGUAGGGAAUCUUCCGCAAUGGGCGAAAGCCUGACGGAGCAACGCCGCGUGAGUGAUGAAGGUCUUCGGAUCGUAAAACUCUGUUAUUAGGGAAGAACAAAUGUGUAAGUAACUAUGCACGUCUUGACGGUACCUAAUCAGAAAGCCACGGCUAACUACGUG
rnacentral:rRNA from 1 species